GACGAGUCGGUGCUCGACUGGCGCGAGUGCGAGCCGGAGUCAGGCUCCUUGAAGAACGACUCGGGCAGGAUCUUCUUCCGCCACGAGCUGGGCUUGGGGUUCAUCACCGAGUUGAAGAGGGCUUCGAGGAUGACUCAGGUCACUAGGGGUUGAGAAGAAACCUGGUCAAAGCUUGGGCGGUGGAAAGGGACAGCGAUCGUGCCCCCCUCUCCCGGGACAUCCGCGCGGGUAGUAGGAGGAUUGGAAUGUCCCUGACGCCCUCCAGAGAGCCUGGAUGUUGGGAUGGAAGCGGAACAGGUGGCUGGGAGCAGAGAGGGUGCGCCAGUGACCCGGAAAAAACCACCCACCCUCCCACCGACUGGAUCUAGGCGAGGGGUGGAGACCCCCUGCUAGAUCUAGACUGGCAAGACAGCUGCGGGAAGUAGGAGGCGGCCUGGUCCUCCGGAGCAGCUCAGUUCCUUCUUUCCCUUGUCCCUUCUCCAUUGAGGGGAAGGGGAGAGUAGCUGUGAGAUGGGAAAAUCAAGACUGCCUGAGAGAGAAAGACAGUCAUGUGGAUCACUGUCAAAGGUGAGCAGAGCAUACAGCUCCUUCAGGAGCCUCUGGAACUGUUUCCCAUCAGCAAGUCUUCUGCCCAUAGGACAGCAGGGGGAAAGGGAAGCUGCCACAGGUCACUCCAUGGGAAAUAGCAUCUUUACAAGCUAUCGUCAGAAGCCACCACCGUUGCAACAAUGGGCAAAUCAGCUCUGGAACUAGAGGAAGUGACUGGGACUGAAAGGUUACUAAUUCAGAAGCCACUUGACGAACAGAUGCAACCUUGAGGCCAGCCCAACUCCAGGAAGGUCCUCACCCAGGAAGGAAGGUCUUGCUUUGUAAAGAGUUCCUGGCUGCUGCACAGAGGAAGAUGCUGAGGGAUCCAUGAGAUUAAUCAUUUAGGGAGAAUCAGGAUUGAGGCUGGGUGGGCAAGGAUGCCGUCAUUCCUUGCCAAGACAUAGAUAGUGGAGGACAAAGUAGAUGCCUGAAAUGGAGACUGCUCUGAUCACGUGAUAGCUCAAAGGGAAAACUCCCAGUUCUCAAACAGUCUAUAAGAUAUGAUAGUGGAUGGCCAAAGGGAUUUGCUUCACUGCUUCAAACAAUAGUUUCAGAUUAAAGAACAUUUACAGGUGCCUUGUGUAUAUCAGGUACUGCCGUAAGAGGCAGUAUGGUGUGACAGGUAAGUGUAUAAUGAAUCUCUGGAGGAAAAUACCUGAGGCAAGAUACUGAAACUCUCUAUUCCUGAGUUUUCUCCUUUGUAAAUUAGAAACAAUAACAGUACCCACCUCACAGGAUUUUAGAUGAAAACAAAUUACAGUCGGCCCUUUGUAUCCUUGGGUUCCACAUCCACUGUGGAUUUAAAGAAAAAAAAAAAUUCCAGAAAGUUCCAAAAAGCAAAACUUGCAUUUGUGGCACACUGACAACUAUUUACGUAGCAUUUAAUUGUAUUAGUUAUUAUAAGAAAUGUGGAGCUGAUUUAAAGUACAUGGGAGGAUGUGUGUAGGUUAUAUUUAAAUACUACGCCAUUUUAUAUAAGGGAUUUGAACAUCCUCAGAUUUUGGUUGGUUGGGGGGGCGGUGUGUCCUAGAACCAACCCCCUGCUGAUACUGAGGAACGACUAUAUACAAAUUUUAUCUGUUCCCACUGAUUUAGAACACAAGCUUUGAAAUGCCUAGCUCAACUCUCUACAUUGGGCAAGUAAUUUAACCUCCCUUAAAUCACAGAUUAUUCAUUUACAAAUUGGAAAUAGUAGUGUGGUAGUCUGUGACACUGCUGGCCUUCAAUGGACCACCCUUCUUUUGGUCACACCCUUAUGGAGUCCCUCCCACUUAAAUCUGCACUGGGCCAGUGACUUGCCUUCACCUGGAAAACGCAGCCCUGCAUCUGUGCUUGUUCCCUCUUUUAACCCCAAGGGAGGUGUGGAAGUUUCUGCUUCUGUACUUUUGGGAGAUCUGAGCCACUAGGGAAGAACUACAACUACUUUGCUGGGGAAACCACGUGCAGAGGAAGAGGCCCUGAGAUAGGUGGAGACAGGGAGAACUCCAGCCAUCUAGCACCGGAGCUGAGCCCAGCCCCCAGCAGGCCCAACAGCUGACUGCAAGGGCAUCAGUGACCAGCAUCAAGACCAGUAGAACCAGAGCCCAGCCCAGCCCAGCCCACAUUGUAGAACAAAUAAAAUGAAUAUUGUUUUAAGCUACUAAAUUUUGGAAUUUUUUUAAUGCAGA